rnacentral:rRNA from 1 species
UUGAACGCUGGCGGCAUGCCUUACACAUGCAAGUCGAACGGCAGCACGGGAGCAAUCCUGGUGGCGAGUGGCGAACGGGUGAGUAAUGUAUCGGAACGUACCUUUCAGUGGGGGAUAACGUAGCGAAAGUUACGCUAAUACCGCAUAUUCUGUGAGCAGGAAAGCAGGGGAUCGCAAGACCUUGCGCUGAUUGAGCGGCCGAUAUCAGAUUAGCUAGUUGGUGAGGUAAAGGCUCACCAAGGCGACGAUCUGUAGCGGGUCUGAGAGGAUGAUCCGCCACACUGGAACUGAGACACGGUCCAGACUCCUACGGGAGGCAGCAGUGGGGAAUUUUGGACAAUGGGCGAAAGCCUGAUCCAGCCAUGCCGCGUGCAGGAUGAAGGCCUUCGGGUUGUAAACUGCUUUUGUACGGAACGAAAAAGUCUUCUCUAAUACAGGGGGCGAAUGACGGUACCGUAAGAAUAAGCACCGGCUAACUACGU